AUUGAACGCUGGCGGCAGGCCUAACACAUGCAAGUCGAACGAGUGGCGGACGGGUGAGUAAGGUCUGGGAAACUGCCCGAUGGAGGGGGAUCACUACUGGAAACGGUCGCUAAUACCGCAUACCCUCGGAUGUGCCACGAGGGGAUUAGCUUGUCGGUGAGGUAACGGCUCACGUAGGCGACGAUCCCUAGCUGGUCUGAGAGGAUGACCAGCCACACUGGAACUGAGACACGGUCCAGAGUCCGACGAGAGGAAGAAGUGGGGAAUAUUGCAAGAUGGGAGCAAGCCUGAUGCAGCCAUGCCGCGUGUAUGAAGAAGUCCUUCGGGUUGUAAAGUACUUUCAGCGGUGAGGCGUUACCCGCAGAAGAAGCACCGGCUAACUCCGUGCCAGCAGCCGCGGUAAUAC
rnacentral:rRNA from 1 species